ensembl:lncRNA DARS1-AS1 DARS1 antisense RNA 1
ACAUGGAAUAAACUUGACAAGUGCUAAAGAUGCUCUUUGAUUUUUGUGUGGCAUGAGACCUCAGGCUGAAACUUCUCAUCUGAGCCAUUGAAGGGAGCCUCUCAUCUCUCCACCGAGAGGGGAGACCAGAAUGACUGUAUCCACAGAGCGGUGCUCUUGCCUUGAAAGGAAGGAUUUGCCCCGGUUUGGAAGGAAGUGGAAUAAAUAGAACUGGAAAUGGCUCCUUCAGGCACAUUCUGUUGGGCUUCCCUCUACCUCCCCACUCUGCUGCUUCCCCGCUCUUUUUGAAUUUCUCCCUGUUGAGGAGAGGGAAGACCAGCUAGGAGAGGAUCUGGAUUGAGAAACUUGCCAUGCUUUUCUCUCAGAUGUUCUCUUUUCUCUGAAGACAGCAGGACCUCAUCCAAAGCUCUGUUUCUGGCAGGAAUCUGACACCACUUACUCCUUGGGUAGAAACUCCCCCAAGUCUGAACUAUGUGAUUGCCUGAGCCCUGCUUCUUGUUCAUUAAGACUGCUCCUCUGAAACGGAAUUGAUGAAUUUUUAGUGGCUAUUAGAAGCAUUUGGGAUCCAUAGGCAUCAGGGUUUGAUGCAUGGCCCUCAUCUCUGUGGGCUCCUGUGCAAUGAUUCUCAUCUGU